UAAAGACUGGUUCCCUUACGAUCACCGAAGUUAAGCAACGUCAAGCCGGGUCAAUACCUAGAUGGGUGUCCGUUUGGGAAUAUUAUGUGCUGUAA